UGGAGGUCAUGGAGAACUCGUCAGACCCUAUCGUCAGUCAUAUACCAGAUUGGCUUGACUCGAGUUUUCUUAUGAAUUCCAUGAAUUUUUUUUUUAGUAUUCAUACUUGUUUUGGCCAAAAUUUUUUUGAACUCAGUCUCACAAAUCGCAUAGGACUUUUUAUUUUCUAUUAAGAUCGAUAGAUUCCAUCUAGGUGCAUCAUACAUAAUACAUGUUUUUGCAUAUAUUGGUAUUGAAUUACACUAGAUACUCAAUAUAAGAUUUUAUGGCAUAUAUUUUCUUUUGAUACUAUUCAUAUAUUAUUUUCAAUUAUAUUGUUAUAUUAGUGUGAGUGUGUGGAGAUUUUUACUAGGCUGAAAGCUCCCCACCCAUCUUUCUCUUCUUUUCUUUUUAAGAGUUACAGGAUACAUACUUUUGGCUAUGUUUGGAAUCAUGAU
rnacentral:lncRNA from 1 species